UAGUACUUUCGUCUCAAACAAAACUAGGCAAAAAAACGCUAGUGUUUAGUUAGUUCCAGCGAUAUUAAUAAUUAAUGUGGUCGUAUCCGGCGACGGUGAGACAAAUAGCCGUAACUGGCGGCGUUUUUGUCGUCGGUGCUUCGUUGUUCGGCGCCGGAGCUUAUCUCUCAUAUGUCAACGUUGCUCCUCAGCAGGCUCGCGCUAAAGAACGCAGUGAAGCAAUGAGGAAUUAUCUCAGAAAGCGUCUCGGUGAUUGAUGCGGAUCAGUACUAUUUCAUAGUGGAUAAUUGAAGAUAUGAAUUCUGCUAAUUCUUUAGUGAAGGAUUUUUAUAUUUUGUAUCUAGAAUUUGUUUUAGUUAUGUUUAUGAUAGUGGAUAUGUAAUGUAACCACUUACCAGUAGGGUAUGGUUUCAUAGUUAUUAGUUUAAACUUAAAUAAGAUUAGAGAAAGCUUUCUGGCACAUGUAUAGUUUAUGUUGAUGCUAUAAAGCUUGAAUUUUUUCUGGUGCACUUUUACAUGUUUUUAGCUAUGAAACACGAGCACAAACACGAUACUGACAUGUCGACCCCUAUAAUAAUUUACAAAAAUGAAUUGAUUGAAUGUGACAAGUUUCGUGUCAGUGUGGACAUUGACACAUCUUGAACACCAAAUAAACCCUCAAUUAGAAAUGUGAAUGCUACAUAGUUUUAUAAGCAUGCGAUAUAUAUAAGCAUGUUGAUUUCGAGGGUCUAUUAUCUCUUUGUUAGUAAGUAAAAUUAACACAAAUUUUAAAAAAUGAAAAUAGAAAACAUUUUGAUAAAGCAAAUAGGGCCAUAGUUUUCCAGAAACAAAACUAAAUUGGUAACGGGGGAAACUAUCAAACAACUAAACAAAACAUAUCAACCAAAAAUAUGAUUGCAUGUUCCAUCUUUGUAGCUAAACUGCAUAGUUCUGUAAAAUCUAUAACUUGUUGGGGCAUUAUUAUCUCUUUCAUUGUUAUUGCUUAGUUGUUGACUCUGUUGCUCAGUCCCAAUCCUAGAGUACUACGUUGUUUAAACAUCGUCAUGAUAAGUACACAUCUUCAUUACCCUUUACCACCUUUUCUUCUUGAACUUCUAUUCCAAGGCCUAAACUAUAAUUUGCACAAUACCCACUUUUCACAAUGUUCAAAACAACACAAAUAAGCUUUCUUUGUCUCCUCUCAAACUUCUUUACAUAUGAUCCACUGAAAACUUCAAAUUCUCAACAACAAAACUCAGAAAAAAGUGUAACAGAAUGUCAUGCUUAUGAAGAAGCAGAUAGGUCAGGUCACAGCCAUUGGAGAUUAACAUUAGUGAACAGGCUGCUAAGUUUAAGAUUGGUUUGUAUUUUGGUGGGCUUUGAAUGUGGUGUUCAAUAUUUACAACAAGAAAGUUUUGAAUGCUUUUCCUUAUCCAUGGCUUACUUCAACUUUGUCCCUUGCUGCUGGUUCUCUCACCAUGUUAAUCUCAUGGGCUACAAGGGUUGCUGAGGCUCCUAAAGUUAAUUUGGACUUUUGUAAUGAAGGCCUUGUUUCCUGUUGCGGUGGCACAUACAAUUGGGCAUGUUGCAGCUACUGUGAGUAUGUUCAAAGUUGCAGUUUCAUUUACACACAUCAUCAAAAGUGGAGAACCUGCUUUCAGUGUUCUGGUAUCAAAGUUCUUGCUUGAGGAAGCAUUCCCUAUCCAGGUUUACCUUUCACAUACCAAUCAUUGGAGGUUGUGCACUUGCUGCUGUCCCUGAGCUUAAUUUCAAUAUGAUUGGGUUUAUGGGGGCUAUGAUAUCCAACGUGACCUUUGUGUUUAGGAAUAUAUUCUCGAAGAAGGGAAUGAAAGGGAUGUCUGUUAGUGGUUUCUUUUGUUUUGAAUCAAAGUAGGUCGUGACUGUUGUAUUUUUGUUUAGUAGGUCGGGGGAAGCUAGCUACUGCUUAUACGACAGCUCUGCUUCCUCGUCUUGCGAAUGAACUACUAUGCUUGCCUCUCCAUAUUAUUUCUAUUGCUGUGGAAGGCCCAAAGAUGUGGGCUGCUGGCUGGAAAGCAGCAGUGUCUCAGAUUGGUCCCAAUUUUAUCUGGUGGGUAGCUGCACAAAGUGUGUUCUACCACUUGUACAAUCAAGUCUCUUUUAAGUCUCUUGAUCAGAUUUCUCCAUUAACAUUUAGCAUAGGGAUUACAAUGAAGAGAAUCUCGGUUAUUGUCUC